AUUGAACGCUGGCGGCGUGCUUAACACAUGCAAGUCGAACGGAAAGGCUCCUGCUUGCAGGGGUACUCGAGUGGCGAACGGGUGAGUAACACGUGGGUGAUCUGCCCUGCACUUCGGGAUAAGCCUGGGAAACUGGGUCUAAUACCGGAUAGGACGACGGUUUGGAUGCCAUUGUGGAAAGUUUUUCGGUGUGGGAUGAGCUCGCGGCCUAUCAGCUUGUUGGUGGGGUAAUGGCCUACCAAGGCGUCGACGGGUAGCCGGCCUGAGAGGGUGUACGGCCACAUUGGGACUGAGAUACGGCCCAGACUCCUACGGGAGGCAGCAGUGGGGAAUAUUGCACAAUGGGCGCAAGCCUGAUGCAGCGACGCCGCGUGGGGGAUGACGGCCUUCGGGUUGUAAACUCCUUUCGCUAGGGACGAAGCGCAAGUGACGGUACCUGGAGAAGAAGCACCGGCUAACUACGUG
rnacentral:rRNA from 1 species